rnacentral:misc_RNA from 1 species
GCUGUUAAUAAUACUCCCUCAAUUGAAAUUGAUGAAGAGACCAGCAAAUUGAGGCUCAGAUCUGUGUUAAGCUCGAGCAAAAAGAGAGUCCAACCACGCCAUGGCUGCAAAAAAAAGUAUGCCCCGCCAAGUUACGGAUCAGAUAACCUCAAAUGCUCAAUUAAUCAGCUCAAAAGGGAAUAAAAAGGGACAAAAAUCAUCAUCGCCUCUAUAAAGACACCAAUUAUAAUCACCCCCACCGGCAACACUGAAUGCUCAGGCAUAAGCAUAAGUAUAAAGAAAUAAAAAGGGAAAAAGAGUUGAAAGGCCAUAGAAACCCAUUUCAAACAAAGCUGAUAAUUGUAUAUUUCCUCUGUUCAAAAUUGAUAAGAAAAAGGUUGUUGGAAUUCUUAGAUAAAUGGAGAAAUCAUCGGCUGAUGUAGAGAGUGGCAACCACCCUUUCAAUGAGAA